rnacentral:lncRNA from 1 species
UUAGAUUUUCAUAUUCUGGAGACUCCUCCUAGUGAGCUUCAGAGUCUUUUGUUUGAUGAUAUUUCCGGGGCUUGCAUGCCUAGGAACGUCCGUUUAAUUUCUUAGUUUUCUUUCCUUUGGGCUCUGAGAGCCCUCUUUUGUACCAAAAAAAAAAAAGAUCAUAGAAGCUAAAAUACAAAUUGUCUGAUCAUCUUCAUCUAACAGUCAAUGAUGG